AGAGUUUGAUCAUGGCUCAGGAUGAACGCUAGCGGCAGGCUUAACACAUGCAAGUCGAGGGGCAGCAUGGUGUAGCAAUACACUGAUGGCGACCGGCAAACGGGUGCGGAACACGUACGCAAUCUACCUCUUUCAGGGGCAUAGCCCGAAGAGAUUCGGAUUAACUCCCCAUAAGAUAAUGGUGUGGCAUCACACAGUUAUUAAAGCUCCGGUGGAAAGAGAUGAGCGUGCGUCCCAUUAGCUAGUUGGUAGGGUAACGGCCUACCAAGGCGACGAUGGGUAGCUGGUGUGAGAGCACGACCAGCCACACGGGCACUGAGACACGGGCCCGACUCCUACGGGAGGCAGCAGUGAGGAAUAUUGGUCAAUGGACGCAAGUCUGAACCAGCCAUGCCGCGUGAAGGAUGAAGGCGUUCUGCGUUGUAAACUUCUUUUAUCUGGGAAGAAACCUCCUUUUUCUAAGGGAGCCGACGGUACCAGAGGAAUAAGCACCGGCUAACUCCGUGCCAGCAGCCGCGGUAAUACGGAGGGUGCAAGCGUUAUCCGGAUUCACUGGGUUUAAAGGGUGUGUAGGCGGAUAUUUAAGUCCGAGGUGAAAUCUCUGAGCUCAACUCAGAAACUGCCUUGGAUACUAUUUAUCUUGAAUAUCGUUGAGGCAGGCGGAAUAUGUCAUGUAGCGGUGAAAUGCUUAGAUAUGACAUAGAACACCGAUUGCGAAGGCAGCUUGCUAAACGAUUAUUGACGCUGAGGCACGAAAGCGUGGGGAUCAAACAGGAUUAGAUACCCUAGUAGUCC
rnacentral:rRNA from 1 species